UACGAAGGGGGCUAGCGUUGCUCGGAAUCACUGGGCGUAAAGGGUGCGUAGGCGGGUUUUUAAGUCAGGGGUGAAAUCCUGGAGCUCAACUCCAGAACUGCCUUUGAUACUGAAAAUCUUGAGUUCGAGAGAGGUGAGUGGAACUGCGAGUGUAGAGGUGAAAUUCGUAGAUAUUCGCAAGAACACCAGUGGCGAAGGCGGCUCACUGGCCCGAUACUGACGCUGAGGUGCGAAAGCGUGGGGAGCAAACAGG
rnacentral:rRNA from 1 species